AUGGUGAACCGCAACAUGCUGGGCCGGAAGACGAGGUACGCCUACCUGGCCGUGGCCGAGCCGUGGCCCAAGGUGUCCGGGUUCGCCAAGGUGGACCUGGUGACCGGCGAGCUCACCAAGUUCGAGUACGGCGAGGGCCGGUUCGGCGGCGAGCCGUGCUUCGUGCCCAUGGACGGCGAGCACGCCCGCCCCGGCGCCGAGGACGACGGCUACGUGCUGUCCUUCGUGCGCGACGAGGCCGCCGGCACAUCCGAGCUCCUGGUCGUGAACGCGGCCGACAUGCGGCUCGAGGCCACCGUGCAGCUGCCGUCCCGCGUCCCCUACGGCUUCCACGGCACAUUCAUCGGCGCCGCCGACCUCGACGCCCAGCACUAA
rnacentral:rRNA from 1 species